CGACCGGCGCACGGGUGAGUAACACGUAUCCAACCUGCCGUCUACUCUUGGCCAGCCUUCUGAAAGGAAGAUUAAUCCAGGAUGGCAUCAUGAGUUCACAUGUCCGCAUGAUUAAAGGUAUUUUCCGGUAGACGAUGGGGAUGCGUUCCAUUAGUUUGUUGGGGGGUAACGGCCCACCAAGACUACGAUGGAUAGGGGUUCUGAGAGGAAGGUCCCCCACAUUGGAACUGAGACACGGUCCAA
rnacentral:rRNA from 1 species